CCGUCCCUGCCCGCCCUCCUUCCCCCCGGCGCUACCGGUAGAUGAUGUAAUUCCACUCCACGUUGCAGCACAAAAUCCUGGCCUUUCUCCAGCAGUUUCCUCAGGUCCUGACACUGGUCACAGAGAGCAGAGCUCAUUGUCUUGUCCCUCCAAUUGGGAGGUUGGGAGGAAGCUGCAGAGUGCAAUGAUGUCUCCCCUCAGACUCCUCCAGACUGAACAAGGUAAUUUUGUUUUUUUAAAUUGCUAACAUCACCUUCUGGGAUCAGGAAACAAUCUUAAAUGAAGGUCUCAAAAUUGUGGAGAAAACUUCACAAAGAAUGAAGACUAUUCAAGUGGUGGGAAGCGGAAUUCAAGACAUCUGGAAAAACUUCAGUGUCUCAAGAAUUAACAGAAAAUCCAACUCACAAUCAUCUGACAUUAACAUAUCGCUCUCUCCAAACAAGGGAAAUUAAACAACUCCCCCAGCUCCCGCUACAAAGAAUAA